rnacentral:rRNA from 1 species
UACAGAGGGGGCAAGCGUUGUUCGGAAUUACUGGGCGUAAAGGGCGCGUAGGCGGCCUGUUAAGUCGAACGUGAAAUCCCCGGGCUCAACCCGGGAACUGCGUCCGAUACUGGCAGGCUUGAAUCCGGGAGAGGGAUGCGGAAUUCCAGGUGUAGCGGUGAAAUGCGUAGAUAUCUGGAGGAACACCGGUGGCGAAGGCGGCAUCCUGGACC